AGAAGAGUCAUCGUCUGUCGUUCUGAUAUGGAGUCUUUGCCCGACCAAGUGAUGUUAGGAUAUUUCAGUUAUCCUGUACAAGCUUUUGUACCGAAUACAUUAUGGUUGUUACAGGUGUCAAGCUUAUGGGCAUGUGGCAGCAGUGUGUAGGAGGGAGGUUCCUAGGUGGCAGCAGUGUGUAGGAGGGAGGUUCCUAGGUGGCAGCAGUGUGUAGGAGGGAGGUUCCUAGGUGGCAGCAGUGUGUAGGAGGGAGGUUCCUAGGUGGCAGCAGUGUGUAGGAGGGAGGUUCCUAGGUGUGAGAAGAGCAUGAGACAAAGGAAUGUGUAGCAUUGGGGAAAGUAGUGGUAUGUGUUAAUUGUAGGAGUGCCUAUGGGGUCUGGGGAUCAGACAUGUCCCCGUAAGAG
ensembl:lncRNA